GUCGAACGGUAACAGGAAGCAGCUUGCUGCUUCGCUGACGAGUGGCGGACGGGUGAGUAAUGUCUGGGAAACUGCCUGAUGGAGGGGGAUAACUACUGGAAACGGUGGCUAAUACCGCAUAACGUCGCAAGACCAAAGAGGGGGACCUUCGGGCCUCUUGCCAUCAGAUGUGCCCAGAUGGGAUUAGCUUGUUGGUGAGGUAACGGCUCACCAAGGCGACGAUCCCUAGCUGGUCUGAGAGGAUGACCAGCCACACUGGAACUGAGACACGGUCCAGACUCCUACGGGAGGCAGCAGUGGGGAAUAUUGCACAAUGGGCGCAAGCCUGAUGCAGCCAUGCCGCGUGUAUGAAGAAGGCCUUCGGGUUGUAAAGUACUU
rnacentral:rRNA from 2 species